AUGGAAGAGAUGGAAGGAGGUGAAGGUGUCCUCUCUGAAAUUAAGCUGACAGAGUCUGGAAAAGGAACAGUCAGUCCUGGGGAGUCCCUAAGAUUGACCUGCACAGUCACUGGUACCUCCAUCACUGAUACAUAUGGUUACCACUGGAUCCGCCAGCCGCCCAACGAAGGGCUGGAAUGGAUCGGAAGGGGAUACUACAGCAGCAGCUCUACCUGGAUCACUCACUAUGCCUCCACCUUCCAGAGCAGGGUCUCCAUCUCUCCUGACACCUCCAAGAAUGAGUUUUCUCUCCAGCUGAACUCCCUGACAGCUGCAGACACAGCCGUUUAUUACUGUGCUCGAGAACCACAGUGA